GAUGAACGCUGGCGGCGUGCCUAAUACAUGCAAGUCGAGCGAACGGACGAGAAGCUUGCUUCUCUGAUGUUAGCGGCGGACGGGUGAGUAACACGUGGAUAACCUACCUAUAAGACUGGGAUAACUUCGGGAAACCGUAGCUAAUACCGGAUAAUAUUUUGAACCGCAUGGUUCAAAAGUGAAAGACGGUCUUGCUGUCACUUAUAGAUGGAUCCGCGCUGCAUUAGCUAGUUGGUAAGGUAACGGCUUACCAAGGCAACGAUGCAUAGCCGACCGGAGAGGGUGAUCGGCCACACUGGAGCUGAGACGCGGUCCAGACUCCUACGGGAGGCAGCAGUAGGGAAUCUUCCGCAAUGGGCGAAAGCCUGACGGAGCAGCGCCGCGUGAGUGAUGAAGGUCUUCGGAUCGUAAAACUCUGUUAUUAGGGGAGAACAUAUGUGUAAGUAACUGUGCACAUCUUGACGGUACCUAAUCAGAAAGCCACGGCUAACUACGUG
rnacentral:rRNA from 1 species